CUUGUUUAAGAUUGCUUCCAUCAUGCGCCUCAUCAUUACUGCAACAUAUAUGCAUUUUUUGCGGAAAUUAUGUUGAUGGACUGGAACAUUUGCAAGAAAUAUGUCACGAAGAAUACUCAAAGCUCGGGCGCCCUUCUCAAUUGGGCCAGUAGAAUAUGAAGGCAUUUUAAGCAUCUUGUCACUCUCGAGGAACUCCAGUGCUUGUUGUUGUGUAUACAACUUGAGAUCUGCACACUCCUCGAUUGAUGGCAAAAGCAGAGCACUAAACCGAGGAUCUCUUCCUAUCAUUUGCACAACCUCUUGAUCGCUCUCCAUUCCCAUGGCCUUCAUGACAACCAUUAUGGGGACCUUGGUUUUGAACAUAUUCAACUCUAAGUACACCUUUUCUUUCUCCAUUUUUAUAAUUGUUUUGCUCUUUGUUUUUUCUGUGCUGCUGGUAACAGAUGCUUGUACAGAACCUUUUUUAUCUGUAUCAAUGAUUAUCCUGUUCUUCGAGAGCUGCUCUUGAAUUAAAAUAACCUUCUCAGUGCCUUUGAUUACAAAAUAUCCUCCAGGAUCAAGUGGGCAUUCUCCAAGUCUUGCUAGUUCAUCUUCAUCUUUCCCAUAUAGCACGCAACAACUGCUUCUAAGCAUAAUUGGCAUCCUUCCAAUGAUAACAUUCUUCUUUGUUGACACUGAUGUUUGCCCAUGACUUCCUGUCGUGUAGUCAAUGGUGACAUAAAUUGGUGCUGCAUAGGUACGGUCAGAUAGUCGGCAUUUCUGUGGACAUAAUUUCUCGGUUACAGCAUCAAAAACCAUUGAUGGUUCACCAAUGUGAACAUCCCUGUACCUAAGAUAAAUAUUGGGGUCCAAUGUUGAUCUAAUCUCCUGAUUUGCUCGGACAAUCUUCUUUAUUUCCGUCCUUACAAAAUAAUUGAAGGAGUCCAAGUGUUGCUUCACCAAACCUCUCACUUUUAGGAAUUCUGGAACAAGUUGAUACUUGUCCACCAAAUUCUUAAUGUGAGAAGCAAGGUGCUGCUUGUCAAUUCCCUGGUUUGAGUCCUCUGUCGUAUUGGACAUGGUAGAAUCAUAACCCAUGUCCUGCCAAUCAAUUUUCCAGCUGAACAAAGACAGAAACAAUGAGAUUGUAGCAGGAGCAAGAUGGGAGUCAAAAUAAUGCAAGAUGAUUUCUUUUCCCCUGCCAUAACAAGGUAUAAAGCACAAUUAGUGGGGGGACUAAUUUGAAAGCAAUUUUACACAAAUAGACAAGUAGAACUAUUAACCAUCAAUAGCAGUUUGUAUCCAGAAAGUGACAUGUUUAUGUAAUGAGAAUGAUGCAGGUAUACAUACACAAGUAUGAAUGGCAGUUUCCUUACAAAUUUCUGCUAUAUUCCAACCACAUUUCAAGAAUAAAGCUUCGUAGCUGGCCAUUACCACACAGUAUCAUUUAGAGAAGCAUAGAAACUUUUAAAGUAUUUAGCGAAUCAUAGUAUUUGUUUCCAUUAUCCGCAUUCUACCAUCUAGAAAUUAACACAAGUACACAAAAGAAAAACUAAAAGCAAAAAUGCCUAGCAUGCAUCUUUUCUUCUCUUCAUAGUUCAUCUUUUCAAAUGUUUUCUUCCAAAACCAAAUCAUUCUUUCUUCUCAUCUCCAACACAACUGAACCUUUGCAAAAAAAUGAACAUCGAGAAUCAAAGCCCUAAAGCAUUGGCAAAACUAGCAUACAAUUUUGAUCCCCAAAUUCUUUCUUUUAGUGAAUUCUAAUUAUUUGGUUCCUUCUAGAACCCAGUACACUAAACCUCCCACUAUAUGUGAGUCCAGGGAAAAGCCGGACCACGAGUCUACUGUACACAGUUUUAACCAGCAUUUCUACAAAAGUUGGUUUCCAUGACUUGAACUUAUAACCUCCGGGUCACAUACUUUACCGGUUAUGUCAAGGCUUCAUAUUAAUAGCGAAAAUGAUAAUUUCAAUCGUAUCAAAACAUCAACAAAUCUAAACAAACUUUUUUUUUUGCGGAAAUAAAAAACUUAACAACUGAAACAAAGAAGAAGAAAGCUUACGAUUUGAAGCCCAAAUUUUCAGUCCGAUUGCUCGUUUGUAGUUUUUACUUCAGAGCUUUGCUCCAAGGGUUUUAAUGGAACCCAGCCAAAGUGAAGGCAAAAAGAGUGAGGGUUUUAGGGAGAAGGGGACAAAGAAAAAAUGAAAGUUUUAUUUGCCCAAAAACAAAUUGUAAAUAAUUAAUGGAGAAGUUGCACAAAAAAUUAUUUUACUUUAUUUGACAUAUGAUUCGUGAAAAUUGUAAAUUCAAUUUGAAGUUGUGAUUAUAAUAUAUUUUUGAGUGAAUUUUCACUUUUAGACAAACUAGUCUCCGGGCACGUUGCCCGUGUAUCCCAAUCUAUGUCCUAGGUGUGGACGAAGAUCGAGACUUUCCUAAAAUCUGAUUUGAUGGUAUAUCCCUCUUCUAUUGGAAAUAAAAGAAAAGUACCCACUAAUAGACUGGAUUGCCUGCAACCUCAUUUACAAAAGGCCCUGAAAGAUCUAUCUCGUGUCUGGUACUGCAUGGUUCCACUCUGCAAGAACCCCGAAUCAGUCUGUUGAAGCUCAUCUUUUUCAUCAUAAAAGAUCCGCUUGCCCCGAAAUGACCUGGACCAAUAGGGAAAUCCCAAUUCAUUGGGCCUUUCGAUACAAUCAAAUAGAAAGUUCCAAGGACGCCAUAUUCUAGGAGCCCAAACUAUGUGAUUGAAUAAAUCCUAAAAAUCAAUAAAAAAAAAUAAAUGAAAAAGUAUAUAAUAAACUAUUAGGAGAACAUGAUGUUUUUUUUGAGUGUUCUCUCGAUAUUUUCAAUCUACUGCACAUUAGAUAAGUCUCCAAAGUUACCCGUUUAUAAGCAAUUAAAUGUACAGACAGUCAUCAACAACUAAAAAAUACAUGAAAUUGAUCAAUCAAAAGGUGAUUAAAUAUCAAUAUUUGUAAAAUAUUCCAAGAAAAACACAUCAAGUUAAAGAAUUACAAAGGAAAAAUGUGACGUUACUUAAAGUCUUCUUUUAUCCUUAAUGUGUGUCGUUACAAAUGUAACCACUUCAUUAAAAACUUUCAGAUAUACCCAGACUUUACAUUUAUAGGCUUACAACUAUUAUCCAUCACUGCUAGACAAGACUUGCAGUUGCUACAUUUGUUGAAGAAAAUGUGAUAUAUUUUGCUAGCAAACAAUUGCAAUUUCAAUUUAUUAUUAAUAGUUUAAAAGUUUAUAACAUGGUUUUCUGCGGGAAACUAUGCUUAGAGAGUUUCAAAGAGAAUUGAUCAUCAUUCAGCAUUAAACCAUAUGUGUGCAACACUCAAUUUUUGAUGUGUGAUUAUACCUUUCAAGCUAUUUAUUUUACCUAUAUCAUUCAAAUGAAGUUAGCAAAUCAAACGAAAAAAUCUAGACUUAAUAAGAUUGUACUUGAAAAUUAAAAAACACUUUUGUACCCACUUAACAAUGGAAGCUUAUGUUGAAUGACUAAUAUUGAGUAUGUUUAUAUAGUGUAGUCUUGAAGAUUUGUUGAUAAAAACUCUUUGAUAUUCCUCAAUGACUUAAUUUGAUUCCUUUCAACUUCCCAUAAUUAGCAAAAUACGUUUCAACUUCUAUAUUAAUUGAAACUUUAUUAGUGUUCAUCCUAUUUCAUUGUUUCACACAGUAAAUUGAGUAGACUGCUGAAUUUCUCAUUUUGCUCCUCUAUUAUGUAAUUCAAAUAUUACUAUUUAAUUAGAUAUUUAAUUUAUAUUUGGAUAAAGUAUUUUAUUACUUUUUAAUUUCGUAUAGGGGCAAAAUAGUAAUUCAACUUUACACUUUAGAGCUUCAUACAUAUAAUAAUAUAUAAUAUGAAAAUUAUUUAAAAUAUUCUUUUCAAAAUAUAUCAAACACAAUUUUAUUUUUAAACUCUUAUUCUAUAAAUUUAGUAUAAAAUGAGAAAUAAUUGUAAUCUAUAACUACUUAGCUAGAGAUCUACUAAGUAUUUUAACAACAAUAAAGUAUCAUUUUUAUAUUUAUAAAUUUACUAGCUUCCGAGCACGCGUUUUGCGCGUGUAAUCCAUGAAUAUAUUAUUUCUUAAAAGAUAAUAUAACUAAAUAAUAAAAUAUGUCUAAUUGAGAUUUCUUACUUUGUUUUACUACUAAUCGUGACACUCCAAUUUUCUCUCCUCCUAGUGAAUGCAUCGAAAUAAUAAUAUGAAAAAUUAAUAAAAUAAACUUCGUUUAUGAUUCAAAAAUAAGUUUACAAAGCAAAAAGGAAAAAUAACAACUAUCUAAAUUAAAUUUCUUGAUAGUUCCGUUUUAUUGGUAGAAUAAUGUUAGAAGAAAUAGUGUAAGAUUAACUUUGAGUGAAAGGAAAACAAAACCUUUCAACUUUUUUACUUUGCCUUUUGAAUCUCCUGAUAAUUAUAAUGAAUGGUUUAAAGUAUUGUAUUAAAUUUUUAUCCACAAACACUUUAAACUAAUUAGUUAAAUAUAAAUAUUUAAAACUAUGAUGUAAAAAGUCUUAUUAUUUAUAUUUUGAAAAUCAGAAUACUUAUGAAUAACUACUAUUUUUAUAUAAAAUUUAAUUUUUCUUCAUACAUAACUUAUCCACCAUUAAUCUAAUAUUAUAUGUUUCACCUUUUUUUUCCAUAAAAAGAAAAGAAAAGAGUAAACAUCCUAUUUUAUCACAUUCAUUCUUAAAGAUGAAAAUUAAUGUAUAUGUAAAAUUAUAAGUACAAAGCAAAAAAAGAAAAGAAAAGAAAAGAUACAGAUGAGCAAGAUAAUUAGGCAUUUCAUUUUAUUUUUAUCUAUAUAGUGAAACUGAACAUUUGAGCAUACAAAAUACAAAUAUGAAUUUAGAGCAACUUGCUAAUAAAACAAGAAUUCAACUAUAUGAAGAGAGACAAAAAAAGUCUUAUUAUGAUUCUUACUACAAAUAAGUAUAGAACUAACACAUCAAGCUCCGAUGCUUCAGUAAUUAAAUUUUUGUCUAUUCUCGUGACUGCAGAAGGGAAUUUCACAACUAUUACCUCAAAUUGUGACAUUAUUUCACAUGUUUAGAGUUCUUACACACAAGAAUUGUAGGAGUGGUAAAUAAAAAUUUUUCUUGAAAAAGUUAAAUUUAUAGAACAAAAUUUUGGAAACAUGAAAAGUCACAUGAAUUAUUGUUAAAAUAAAUAUAAAAAAGAUAGAGAUGAAAUUUAAUUUUAAAGAUACAUGAAUCUACUUUAAUUUCUCGUCUAUAAGGAAUAAUUACUCAUUUUUAUUUUAUUUAUAUUUGUGUUAGAAAUUUGAAAGGUCAAGAUUAUGGAAUGAGAAUAAGAAGAUUAUAUAUAUGAAAAUUAUAAAAGUUUUAAUUUAUUAGAGAGGCAAAAUAGUAAUUCAACUUUUAAGUUUUGAGCUUCAUGCUUAUAAUAAUAUAUGAUAAAAGUAUAUAGUUGUGCCAAUUUGGUAUUUCACUUUUAUCAUACUAUUACUCACAAAAUAUGGGCAAUAAGAUUAAAAUGAUUGAUAUUAAGAAAAAGAUCAUGAUUAAUCUUUAGAAUUCAUUUUGAACAUUUAGGGCCAAUUUAGAGAAAUUAGAAAAAAAUCUCUUUUUUCAUGUGGAUUAUUCCGUGAAUAUUUUGGAAAUAUGAAUUUUUCAUGUGGAUUAUUAUGUGAAUAUUUUAGAAAUAUGACUUUUAGAAGAUUUCUUUGUGAAACAUUUAUAGAACAUUCGUAGGGAGUUCAGGGAUCAGCAGUAUGUACAGUCUCACAAUUUUUAGAAUCCAUUUAAAGAAAUUUUAGAGGGCACUAAACAUCUUCUCAAUUUUUUAUGUGAAGCCGACUUUUAGACUCUCAACAACAAUGUCAAAUAGGCUCUUAAUAAGUUUUAAAUUUCCUUCUUUUUUUUAAGACAUACGCUUCUAGACUCUCAACAACAACCUCAAAUAGGCUCUUAAUAAGUUUUCGAUUCCCAACGGCGAGUUUAAGACAAAAAAUUUAAAAAAACUAUAUUUUUUCUUUAUUUCUUAUACUCCAUAUUUAAACAAAUUAGGACACUUAAAUUGAGACCGAGAGAGUAUAAGCCUGGAUUUAAUACAUGAGAAUCCUAAUUAAUUAUCAACUGUGGAUGCUUUCAGGGUGGAAAGCACUUUGAACACCUUAACCACAGAAAACAACCAUUUUUUUUGGUCAUAAAUAUUUUCUGAAUGCUCCCAACAUACUGUAGUUGCAACAUCAGCUGCAAGCCUAUCUAUAACAAGAUCAUAUUUUUACAUAUCUAUCGCAAACACUCACUCUACCUUCCUAAAAACUAAAAAGAAGUAAGGUCUGCGUACCACCAUAUCUUUCACAGACCACACUUGUGGAUUACAUUGUAUAUGUUGUUGUUAUUAUACGUGAGCAUAUUUCAAACGUUGAAAAUGCAAGGAAGAUAGGAAGUUCUCAAUCGACCAUCAUAUUGUCAUACGAGCUCUCUAAUAUGCACCAGAUCGAGUACUGAUCAGGCAAUAUAAUAUCAAACUACUGCAUAGAAGCGCGCCUGCUUAAUACACUUUGCAUCAGAUACAGAGGCAACAUUGCAUCUUAUGCUACAUUCAAUAGAAGCAUGGUAUUCAUCUUAUAAAAAAACAAAAUGUGAUGUUAUAAAUAAAAGUAACAAGAAGAAACAUAGGCAAUUAGAAAAGUAAGGUCAAUUGUUAAGGAACGACCAAAAAUGAGCGAGAAGCUAAUAGAUGUGACAGUAUAAUCAAACAGCUUCUGUUAGUUUUAAUCGUGGAACAAUGUUCAUUGAUUGGAGCUCCUGGAAUAGGAGCUUGCACGCAUAGGGCAACUUCAUCGUAGAUAUGUUUUCCCCGUUCUUGCACAUGGAACAAAUGCCAAUCUUCAGCUUGUAGUUGUAAUAUCCCAAUAAACCACAUUUUCUGCAAACCUGAGCCUCGAAUGGAUCACUGGAAAGCAUCAGGCGCUCGUGUAUCAACAUACUUGCACCAUAUGCAAUCAAACAAUCACGUUCCAUUUCUCCCACACGUAAACCUCCAUUUCUACUUCUCCCUUCGGUAGGUUGUCUUGUCAUCAUAACACGAGGCCCACUCCCACGAGCAUGCAUUUUGUCUACGACCAUGUGUUUCAGCUUUUGGUAAUAUAUUGGCCCCAUGAAGAUGUAUGCUUGCAGUGGCAUACCAGUGAUGCCUGAAUAAAUAAAAUCCUUCCCAUUGUAGCAAAAUCCAUGCUUUACCAGAGUUUCACUGAUAGCAUCAACCGUAUCUGCAUGACCACUGGGUUCUCCGAAAGCACUGCCAUAAUGAAACCUACCACACGAAACUCCAGCUUUACUGCCAAGAAGCUCGAUCAUCUUUCCUACUGUCAUUCGGCUUGGAAAUCCAUGAGGAUUCAUAAUUAGAUCAGGGCAAAUUCCACGUUCAGAAAACGGAAGAUCUUCCUGUUGUACAAUGAUGCCACAGACUCCUUUCUGCCCAUGUCUGCUACUAAACUUGUCACCAAGCUCAGGCCUACGGGUCUGACGGAUCAUAAAUUUGAUGCUUAAAUUGUUGUUUUCAUCAGAGUGAAGAGCCACUCUGUCAAUGACAGUUGGCUCCCCUUCAGUACCUUUAUAAGUUUGUCUACUUAGCCUAUAAGCACUAUCCGGCAAGUCCAUUGGAGAUGUGACUGUUGCAACCGUGACUGUAGGGGACUCCUUGUUGAUAUAGAUAUCACCAUUUCGAAUAAUUUCUCCUGGAGAAGCUAGUCCAUCAUCAUCCAGAAUCCUUUCUGCUUCAUAACCCUUACGUUGUGGUUUAAUUAGCCUAUCUGAUGUGAGAUUCUUAUACUUCUGACACAUGGCUGUAUGUUUUUUCAUCACUAUGCAACGCCCAAAACCUCGAUCUAAAGAAGACUUGUUCAUUACUAUUGCAUCCUCAAUGUCAUAGCCACUAUAACUCAUCACAGCAACAGUAGCGUUCUGUCCAGCGCCUAGUUUAUCAUAUCCAACCAACUCAAUUGUUCUUGUAGUCAGUAAAGGGCGUUGAGGAUACACCAAAAGGUAGAGCAAACCAUCCAUCCGAUUCAAUUGGUUGUAGGAAAUGUUUCCCAUAGCUUGUUUACCCAUCGCACACUGAUAGGUAUUCCUAGGGGACUGAUUGUGAUGAGGAUAAGGUAUCAAACCAGCACAAACACCUAAGAUUGUGAAAGGCUCAAUCUCAAUAUGUGUUGUAUCUGGUGUUGCCUCCUUUUCAUAUAGAGCAAUCAAUGAGUUGUUCUCCUCGUUGACAUCAAGAUAUUCUAUCAAACCAUCUCUUAGAAAGCUGUUGAAGUCACGCACACCAUCCCUCAACUCAUUCAUAUGGAGCUCCUUGAUCCUAGAAACACCUUUUUCAGCAAUUACAAGUGGACGACAGACACGUCCACCAUCUGAAGCAAUGUAGACACAGCACUGCUUAUCAUUCACAAAGAUGCUUACAAACUCCCUGAUUCGACCAGCCCUCCGUAGCUUCCUCAUUCCAUUAGCAAAUCGCUGGGGACUCCUGUGCUUGCCUAGGAUAAGUCCAUUUAAUAUGAUGAGAUAAGAAUUUGGCGUGUGAAGUUCUGCUGCUGAAAGUUGUUCCAAGUCCUCAACACCCAAGUCAUAGCACUGUUCUAUCAUGUAAAAGUUCAAUCACAUGUUACAGAAAUGAGGUAGGAACUUUACUUACUUAUUCUAGCACAAACUGAAAAGUUGGAUUUUGCUAUGGUUAUUAACGCAAAUACAACAAAAUAGGAAGUUAAUUAUGUCUAAUAACAGGACUUUUACUAUUAAACACUUGCAACCCCUCACCAUCAAUGCACCGUGUAAAUCGGUCCAUUAAGGCCUAAGGAGAUUAAAAUAGUAUCACUUCUUUAAGAUCACCUUGACGACAUGACUCUUACCAACUCUCUACGGACAAACAAUAAAAACACUUCAUUUUUAAGCAAAAACUUCAGUUAAACAGCCCUAUUGGCACAUAAAUUGUAACAUAAGCAGCUGAAAACAUUACCGUAGCUAUUAUAUUCAAUUCAGCAGCAGUAUAUAUGUGGUAAAAAUUGUUCGGAUUAUUACACACUUGAAUACCAGGCAGGAGAAACAUAAAUUAUAGAGACUGUACCAAAGACAUAAUAGGGCGUUCAUCCUCAUCUGUUGUAACAUGAGUCAUCAAGGCCAGAUUUUUCACCAAUCCACAAGCUUCACCUUCUGGAGUAUCACAAGGGCAGAUCAUGCCAAACUGGCUAGGUUGCAGUGCUCUAGGGCCACUAACUUUUCUAGACUUCUCGAAUUGUGGUUUGAUCUUCGUCAUGUAGCCCAACGUUCCGAUGUAUGAUAGCCUAGCAAGAACCUCAGUCAUGCCUUUCCUGUGCAUCCUAAAUCGUUUAAUAUCCCAGUUGCCCGUAGAUAGGGCUCUCUGCAAUUCAACGGUAAUUCUGUUGCUUCUCUUUACAUGAUAUAACAGGUCGGAAGGUUUGGAGUAAGCAUCAAAUUCCCUCCUAGCUUCAUCAUUCAUCGACUUGAACAAAUCUUCAAAAAGGAGAGAGAGUAGCUGACCAGAGAGCUCCAGUCUUUUGUUCCCCACAUAGUCCUUGUCAUCCAUUGCAUCCUUGUUCAAGAUUGCUUCCAUCAUGCGCCUCAUCAUUACUGCAACAUAUAUGCAUUUUUUGCGGAAAUUAUGUUGAUUGACUGGAACAUGUGCAAGAAACAUGUCACGAAGAAUACCCAAAGCUCGGGCUCCCUUCUCAACUGGACCAGUAGAAUACGAAGGCAUUCUGAACAUCUUGUCACUCUCGAGGAACUCCAGUGCUUG
rnacentral:lncRNA from 1 species